rnacentral:SRP_RNA from 1 species
GCCAGGUACAGUGGCAUGCACUUGUAGUCCCAGUUACUCAGGAGGCUGAGGCGAGAGGAUCACUUGAGCCCAGGAGUUCUGGGCUGUAGUGCACUAUACCAAUUGGAUGUCUGCACUAAGUUCGGCAUCAAUAUGGUGACCUCCCAGGAGUGGGGACCACCAGGUUGCCUAAGGAGAGGUGAACUGGAUCAGGUCGGAAAUGGAGCAGGUCAAAACUCCCAUGCUGAUCAGUAGUAGGAUCGAGCCUAUGAAUAGUCACGGCACUCCUGGCCUGAGCAACAUAGCAAGAUCCCGUAUCUA